rnacentral:rRNA from 1 species
GACGAACGCUGGCGGCGUGCUUAACACAUGCAAGUCGAACGGAAAGGCCCCUUUGGGGGUACUCGAGUGGCGAACGGGUGAGUAACACGUGUGUAACCUGCCCUUGACUUCGGGAUAACUUCAGGAAACUGGGGCUAAUACCGGAUAGGAAUCCUUGCUGCAUGGUGGGGGUUGGAAAGCUUCGGCGGUUUUGGAUGGACUCGCGGCUUAUCAGCUUGUUGGUGGGGUAGUGGCUUACCAAGGCUUUGACGGGUAGCCGGCCUGAGAGGGCGACCGGCCACAUUGGGACUGAGAUACGGCCCAGACUCCUACGGGAGGCAGCAGUGGGGAAUAUUGCACAAUGGGCGGAAGCCUGAUGCAGCAACGCCGCGUGCGGGAUGACGGCCUUCGGGUUGUAAACCGCUUUCAGCAGGGGCGAAGCUUGUGGUGACGGUACCUGCAGAAGAAGCACCGGCUAACUACGUG